GAUGAACGCUGGCGGCGUGCCUAAUACAUGCAAGUCGAGCGAAUGGAUUAAGAGCUUGCUCUUAUGAAGUUAGCGGCGGACGGGUGAGUAACACGUGGGUAACCUGCCCAUAAGACUGGGAUAACUCCGGGAAACCGGGGCUAAUACCGGAUAACAUUUUGAACCGCAUGGUCCGAAAUUGAAAGGCGGCUUCGGCUGUCACUCAUGGAUUGACCCGCGUCGCAUUAGCUAGUUGGUGAGGGAACGGCUCACCAAGGCAACGAUGCGUAGCCGACCUGAGAGGGUGAUCGGCCACACUGGGACUGAGACACGGCCCAGACUCCUACGGGAGGCAACAGUAGGGAAUCUUCCGCAAUGGACGAAAGUCUGACGGAGCAACGCCGCGUGAGUGAUGAAGGCUUUCGGGUCGUAAAACUCUGUUGUUAGGGAAGAACAAGUGCUAGUUGAAUAAGCUGGCACCUUGACGGUACCUAACCAGAAAGCCACGGCUAACUACGUGCCAGCCGCCGCAGUAA
rnacentral:rRNA from 1 species